CAGCACUUUGAGUCCGGGGACAACGACGAUAGUUUGACAGCAAUCAGCUGUACUAAUCAAUUCAAUCUGUGAAAAAUGGCACGGCGACGCCUUAAUUUAUGGUCUUACUCUUAUCUGUGAGGAAAAAAUGGAGACGAGCAAUACUACACACUUGUGAUGGGUUUCGAUCCGGAAAAUCAGCUAUUUAACUUAAAGAACCUCUGGUGGGGCUCCCAUUCCAACGAAAAAGGGUAGAGAAAUGAAGACCUAAGAUCAGGAACGAGUUUUAAAGCAGCCCCGAUUCCGAGACCUAGAACGGCAGGGUCGCGUUUUGCCACUCAUUUAAGGAGUUUUUAUCUUGAUAUUGUACUCUCUUUAGCUAGUGAUGAGAGCCCUAACCGAGGUCCUUUAAGCUUAAAAGCUGACCUUCUGGAUCGAAACACAUAACUACUACACACCUGCUUGAUUUCAAAAUAUGGGUUGCUCACACAAAGUGGCAUUUUGAAGUAAAUAACAAAUUUCAGCACUUAAUAGUGCAAGUUUGGGGCUAGCUAAAGAUGCUUAAUAUAGAAAGAUCAGCAACGAUCAGCUGAUUCUCCUUCUCUGAUUAGACGAUUUUUUUCUCUUGGGUCCCUUAUUCUAAUUGGUCGAGGGUUUUAAGGGCUGUCGUUAUGUAUAGUUCUCCUACACAAAAAGCACCAUCACUUGUUGAGCUGAGGCAAAAUUGGGAACCCUUCUAAGGUACUUCUGUGUGAUUAUUAUAUUGAUUUUUUGCGUAUUCAAGAUUUGAAGACUCAAAUGUCAAUAUCAAAACAGUUAUCACUCUAGAGUCUCUCAGCAGGGUUCCAAUUUUACCUCAACUCAACAAGUCAUGGUGCUUUUUGUGUAGGAGAUCUAGACAUAAAGGCAGCCCUUGAAAACCCAUGAUGAAUAAGAAUAAGGGACUAGUGAUGGGAUCAAAUCAAAUUUCUAAUUCAAGGUUGCCAGAAACCGUGGAAAUUGAAAGCACCAACCGAGUCCAUUGUAACGUUAAAUGUUUAGUUUGAGUAAAAAGUACCUUUUUGAGGCUAACUAAAGCGUUUACGACAUUCAACCAUUAAUGUCAUAUGCCAUUGCAAAUUUAAAUUGGCAGCCCCAGUUGCAACCUCCCGUGAUUAUUAAUUUGGUCCCCAUCAGUUUAAGACACGCAAGAGAAAAAUCGUUGAAUCAGACAGAAAGAGAAUCAGCUGCCCUUUACUGAUCUUUCCAUAUUAAGCAUCUAUAGGGCUAAUAUUUUCUAUGGAGGUAUUAAAUCGCGUCCGCUGUAGAUUUGGCAGAAGGUUAAAAUCACUUCUGAUCUUCUAUAUAGCUUGAAACAAGAUGGUGUCCCUUGCACUGUGAGAUAAUAGAAAAUCGUCUUCUCUCCCCUAACAUGAUUGGUACCUUUUCAGAGAGUGUCUCUAACUUAGGGUAUAAAGAGGUCUUUCGUUCAAUUUACUUUGCAACCCUAUUAAUUGGCAAGAAAAGUAAUGUUAAAAAUUGGCGCCUGAAAUUACGAGGAAAGAAAAAGAGUCCUCAAACUGCCCAAAUCUAAAGAUCUUUCCUAAAUCUGGCCACCCUGGAGAAGAGGUUAACAAACAGGGCAUGUCAAGAGAAUGAAGUUGAAGGAAAAAUGUGGUCCAGCAACCUGGUUUUGGGCAUUUUUGGGAGGAAAAACUAAGAGAUCACAGUCACCUUGCACCAUCCGCCAAUUGAAUUUUCAAUAAUUGCAUGAGUUUGAGUAAGCUGUGUUAGAAAACCCAUGAAAAUGAACAUGUUUGUUAUAAUUUGGUGAACGCACUAUCAAAUUGGCUCAAUACGCUAUUUGCUUAAACAAGCAGGUAAAAUGAAAUACACGUUAAAAUUCAAUGCAUGCACACUGCGGUUUGGCUGGGCAUGUUGUCUUCAAUUACACUCCAUGAAAUAACGUCAGUUGUUCAUGAACGCGUUCAUUUGACAAGCCCUAUUGCUUGAACUUAUCAAUGCGCAUGUGAAACUUUGCACUAAUUUCAAGCUUAAGUGCCCUUGGAGAGUAGAAUGUCUUAAAUGAGAAAAGGAGAGCAAGACAAGACUAGGUGCCUGUGCAAGGAUGGUUCACACUGAUGAAUGAAUUUGGAGGUUUGGUCAUUUCCUUUCUUUUCUUACCACCAGCAGUAAAAAAAAGCGAAAUGGGCCGUUUGGCCAGGUCGCGGUUUCUUGGACACUUUUGUACUAAAACGUGUUUAUUACAUUUAUUAGCAAUACCAUGGUCGCUAUCAUGGUUAUUAUGAUUUAGAAUCAACUCAGAGGCACCAAGGCAUACAUCCCAUUCAAAAUAUUCUUACUUGCUUACAUGGCAAAUUUCUGUGUUUCACAUACCAUCAUGUUGUUAAAUUGAGAGCUUUUUGCUGGGUUGAGUCAUGGAACUGGUUGAGUAGAGCCUUGCCCACUCAGACAGUAAGAGAGGAGGAGAAUCAGUUCCGUUGAUUUAAUGACUUGAUACUUGAUAAGCAGAAAUUGGACUUGCAAGUAAGCAUUUAAAAACAUCUUGAAUGAGAUGUAUGCCUUGGUGUCUCUGUAUUGAUUCUAAAUCAUGAUAACUGUGAUAGAGUCCAUGGUAAUGGUAAUAAACUCGUUCCGGCCAAAACUUGUCCAAGUAGCCGCAACCAGGCCAAACGGCCCAUAUCAGUUUCUUUACUGCCGGCGGUAAGAAAAAAAUAGAAAUCACUAAACCUCCAAAUUUAUUCCUCAUAAGGGCCCUUAUUUACAACGUGAGAUAGCCCAAAUAAAACGGGAAGGCGCGCGGUAGAUUGCUAAAUAAACUGCUCUUGCCUUGCCUUGAACUCAAUUUCUAUUCCGGACAUUAUGUGACCCGGGGCAUUAAUUAUGAAUAAUAUUUUGAUAGAAUUAGCCAAAAACACCACAAACGCAUUAUAAUUCAAUAAAAAGGAAUUGGCCCAAUCGGCCAUUUAUUUGACAGAGGCUGAAUGACAAAGCGCCCUCUGAAGUGCAGAACGUAAAACAUAUUUCGUGCAGCGUAAGGGGGCUAUUGGUUCGGAAACCUCAAUGGAGGCCCUUUCGUUCUAACUGUAUCUGCAAUUCUACCCAUGUAGCACUGCGCUUUUAUUGCAGUAUGUUGCAAAAUAGCUGCAUCAGUGCUGCCAGGUCCAUGGGCAUCGAACAUGCCAGAAUAGCUCUUAAAACAUGCCAGAUAAAAAGCGGAAUAUGCCAGAAAACAUGCCCAAACGAAAGAAAAACAUCCCAAAUUUGCAACUUUCUGCAGCAUGUGGAGGUCAUCAUUAUAAUUUACCUUGAAUUACCAAAAUGGUUGACCUUCUGAACCAAAAUUUUUAUCAUUUAGAGCAUGCAUUUACUCACUAUUUCAGUUUUUAUGGGCUUCAGGGGAGCGGUAAAAGGUAUUGAUCAAAAUAUUAAGAAGGAAAGUAACUCAAAGCUACCCCUUAAGAACCGGAAAAAGAUCAAGAAUGUUUUUUGAUGAUUCCACCAAAAUUCCAAAAAUUGCUUGACUGCUCAAGAUUGUUGCAAGAUUGUUAAUCAAUUAGGCCAUUUGAAAUUAAAAUUUCCUGAGCUUAAAUUGAAGUGUAGCGAUUCCUUGACCUACAAACUGGCAUUUACACAGAAUAAAGUAAAUAUUUAGAAAUUAUUGCCUUUAACAAAAGCUAUCCCACAAUUUGUGGAAACACAUCAACAAAUUUACAACUCCAAAUUUAUUGUUUUGAAUACGUGAUUUAUUUAUUUUUGGUUUGGGGUGUUAGGGUUAGAGAUGUGAGCAUCACCCUGCCAGCAAAGCUAGUCAUCCCAUCUUCCACUUCCGAAUUUCGUUAGGCAGAUUCAGGUCCGGUAUCAGUUUGGUUCUCUGUUAGUGGGUGUGGUUAAGGUCUAUGAGUUUCCUUUGAAGAAAGGUCGUGAAGGAGAUUUGAACUAAGGACCUCUCUCACUUUAGGAAAUUGCGCUAACUAUUACACCACGUCUCCUCCCCUCUGUUAAAACAAAUUUGUGGCGAAAUGCACAAGUUACUGGCAAAAUAACCAUAAUAUGUCCAAAAUCAUGUCAAAAUUGAAUUCUCAAUGCCAGGGGGAAAUUCAUCUAGAAAUUCAUUUUAUUGGUCACCACGCAGUUGUUGUGCCCAAAUUAUGUUGUAGACAGUUAAGGUCAUGAGUACCCUAGAUUUUAUCAGAACUCAAUUUUUUAGCAAUCAAAAAUUCCACCUGCAGAGGAUUUAGUCAAGACUUAGUCAGAAUCAAAAAUCUCGAGUUGCAAUAUCCUUGGUGCAGUUGGAGAACCACAUAGUCCAUUGAUUUAGUAGAGACAAGAGACUGAGAGCUAUAAUUAUGAUAAAGAGGUGUUUGGCAAAAUGAUGGGCGUCAAAUGGAGGAAGCAUUGCACUUCUAUCAAUCAAGCCGAGUCAGCUAGAUGGGAAUGUCCAAUUGUUGAUUUUGCAACAUAUUUGUCAAGUUUGAAAACUUUGCCAAUUUUCUUAACUCCCAGAAUAUGCCAGAAAACAUCCACAAGCUUAAUUUAGAGCUGGCACUUUCCCAUCAGAAGGUGCAAUUCAUUUACCAUAUCGUUUGCAACGUAAAGAAAAGCUUCCGAUUUUUGUGCACAAAAAAUACUACCUUGGAGACAUUCCUUUCCUGCACUUUUCAGUUACUACAAUGUGAUUGAAGGUUUUUUUUCUCUCGACAAGCAUCUUAAUGAUCGUCUUUUUUGCUGUUUGUUGAUCAGCUCUUAGGUGGAUUUCAUUUGUAAAUAACAAGCUUAACAUCAGUUUGCACCUCAUGGAAAAUUGAAAGGCUUAAAACUAAAACCUUUUUCAGAAACUUUUUUGCUUUUGUUUUGUUACAUGGCUUUGGUACAAUUUUGCUUUCAGUCUUCAACAUACUCGACCAGACAAUUUCAUCAUUUUAGAUAUACCCAAGGACCUUCGUGUUAUACCCUUUCGCUCUUACUCGUAAAACUUGGAGGAUGAGUUACAAAAAACGUUACUCGGAGUAAUUGGAACAGUUUCUCAAAUUUGUUAAUGAAGAAUCAGAAUCAACUGGGCUGCUAUAUUUGGAGGAUGGUUAUUAUAAAUAAAACUGUUUGUCUUCUUCACCUCUUAAAUAGAUACAACUAUGAAGCACGCCGAAAAAAUAUGAACGCAGUUUGUGUUGCACCGAAUGAAACCUUUUUUUCUAAAAAUUAUACCCUUGUUAGAGUCAGUAGUCAACUUGAAUAGUCUUGUGUCUGCUUGCUCUCAAUUUGUAAGACCAUGGCGAUUUUGAAUAUGUUUGACUUGUUUCGUUUUAAGUGAAUUACCGGCUUACUCAUACUCGACAUCCCAUGUAGAUUCUCACUAUUCAGGCAAUUAUGCAUGGAUCAAUUAGGGUGACAAGAACGUUUUGUAGCCUGCACACAUUGAAGUUGAAAAACGCGCACCGGCAGAGCGACAAGAUUAACUUUGGCGUACUGUUCAAGAUGGGAACAUCCUUUUCGUUAGAUUGGCCGAGGAACAAGUUCCAUUCGUCCCUGGUGCAUCUCAGGAACGACUUCCUCCUAGAUCUUUCUUCUUGCACCACGCGCUCAAUUGCACAUGGUACGUUCUACUCCAGGGUAUUCCACUGGUAAAACAUGCGAGAGAGAGGUAGAGGGAGAAGGAGCGCUUCAUCGCUUGCCUUGAUCUUAUUCUACGUUCUCAUGAUUCUCGCAUGGUCGUUGACCAACUCCGUGCCCUCGAGACACUCACCAUCGUGGGUGAGUGCGUAGUGCGUACCAGUCCUACCAGCAAAACGUCGCGCGUAUUUGAAAUGGCCGACGCGCGAUCCCUCGGUCCUUGGAACGUCCUCUGGUUUGUUCCCUAACCCAAAUGGUGUGGCCUGGAUAUUUUUGAGCUGCAUAGAACCAGUGGCACGAAAGGGAAAGAAAGACCCGAAGCACGGGGCACGCACGGAUUUUAACCUUCAACAAUUGACCUUCGCCUCUUGUUUAACACAAAACAAAACAUCGGGAAUCAACUAAUUUCGCUCAUUACCUGGCUGACCGAUCAUCAUGCUUGACUUCACGGCAAAAUCGAUCUACUCCAAGUUGUCUCAUUGCUGAGUGCAGAACAAAAUCUCCAAGUUACAGUCAACCAAUCGCUUAAAGGUGGUGCCAUUGCCGGAUUGGGAGCAUUUCUGGGAGGAUUAGCACUUGGACCUCGUGGUUUAGCCAUU